UCCCUGGAGGACUAGUGGUUAGGCCACAGCACUCUCACCGCUGUGGCCUGGGUUUGAUUCCCGGCCAAGGAA
rnacentral:tRNA from 1 species